rnacentral:rRNA from 1 species
UAAGACGAAGGUGGCAAGCGUUGUUCGGAAUCACUGGGCUUAAAGGGCGCGUAGGCGGAACAGUAAGCGUUUUGUGAAAUCCCCCGGCUUAACCGGGGAACUGCUGGGCGAACUGCUGUUCUUGAGGCAAGCAGGGGUGCGUGGAACUCUUGGUGGAGCGGUGAAAUGCGUAGAUAUCAAGAGGAACGCCAGUGGAGAAAUCGGCGCACUGGGCUUGUUUCCGGUCAGAAACGCUUCGGCGUUUUUGGCCCUCUGACGCUGAGGCGCGAAAGCGGGGGGAGCGAACGGGAUUAGAUACCCCGGUAGUCCACGCCGUAAACGAUGCCUACUAGGUUGCGGGGGCUUCUGACGUCCUCGCGGCCGAAGCAAAAGUGUUAAGUAGGCCGCCUGGGGAGUACGGUCGCAAGGCUA